ACCAGUGUGGCGUAGUGGUUUGAGCGUUGGCCUAUAACUCUGGAGACCAGGGUUCAAAUCCCCAGCAAAUGAUG